UACGUAGGUGGCAAGCGUUAUCCGGAAUUAUUGGGCGUAAAGCGCGCGCAGGCGGUUUCUUAAGUCUGAUGUGAAAGCCCACGGCUCAACCGUGGAGGGUCAUUGGAAACUGGGGAACUUGAGUGCAGAAGAGAAAAGCGGAAUUCCACGUGUAGCGGUGAAAUGCGUAGAGAUGUGGAGGAACACCAGUGGCGAAGGCGGCUUUCUGGUCUGUAACUGACGCUGAGGCGCGAAAGCGUGGGGAGCGAACAGG
rnacentral:rRNA from 1 species